ACUUGUUUUAAGUAGAUGGCAUGUCUAUUUUUAGAUUACUUAGGUAGUGUUUGCAUUCGCAUUAUUUAGCUCUUCUUUUACUUCUCUUCUGGGGUUAGCAGUAAACAGGACAGGUAUCCUGUCUAUUUUGAAAUGUCCCCUGAGACUUACCCUAUAAUGUAGCACAGAUUUAAGCUUCCCAGAUGACAUCAAUUCUGGCUACAUAAAAGGCGGUGACCUUAGAUCCUACUGUGUAAUCCUGGGGCAGCCUUGAUCUUUCUGCUUUUCUGAUGACAGCUCUGAGGCGGGGUGAUUUUUUUCAUUUCUUUGCACAUCACUCAUGAUAAACUGGUGCUAUUUACCUCGGCAGAAAAGGGUCCCUGAGGGGGUAUGGUGAGGGGGCCCUGUCCACUUAGAUUAGCCCCCUGAGUUUCCAGCUCCUGUCUCCCUGCACUGCUCCAGAGAAGUGUCACUCAUGUGGAGUUUCUCAGAUCAGUCAAUUCCAGGACAGGGUGGCAUUGGCAGGAUUAUCCCAGAGUCCGUAAGAGCUGUGGCUGCAUCUUUCAGCCCAAGGACAAAUCUGAGGUCUGCUGGUAAGUUAAGCAUAGGGAAAACAACAACUAGCUUUGAGCUUAGAAGGUGUAGGCUCUCAUUUAGGUGAGUCACCUAAAUAGUUCAAAUCGUAGGUCCCUUAGCUGUCGAAUGACUAAGUCCCUGCUCGGCUAGGCUCACAGGCUUGUCGUUGGGAUCAAAUGAAAUUAUACAUCUCAACAGCCCUUUCUAGUUUGCAGAGCUCUCUGAACAUUCAGCUCAUUUCGUCCUCCUGCCACCUGGCCCUGGGAGCUGCAGCUGCAUCUAUGAUGCCCAUCUAGACUCCACCAGGCUGCAGCGCCACCUGUCUGCAGAACAGAGCUGCAGAGAUGACUACCACUGAUAAGAAUGCAUCUGUGACCACCUAGGGAUGCCCAUUCUGUCCCAGACACUGCGCUAGCACUUGAUGCACACAUGACCUCAUUUUCUUCACAACUACCAUAUAAGAUGGGGGUCUCAUCAGGUUGCACAAGCUGAUCUCAAACGCCUGGCCUCAAGUGAUCCUUCUGCUUUGGUCUUCCAAGGUGCUAGGAUUACAGUUACAGAAUCCCUGCUAUUUAGCUGGGCACGUGACUGCCUGGAACAGACCACGAUCCCUGGCUCCAAGGCAGCUACAUCCACGACUAAGUUCUUGCAAUGGCAUGUAAGUAAAAGUGAUAUGGGCAGCUUCUGGGAGGUGUCCUUACAAUGCAAGGGACUUGCUCUUCAUCCUUGACCUCCUUCCUGAUGGCUGGAAAGUGGAUGUGAAGGCUGGACCUGAAGUGGUCCCCUUGGAUCAUGACUUUGGAGAUGAAAGCCUGAGUGGAGCACAGAGAGAGAGGAGCCUGGGUCUCAGACCCUGCAGCCCUGGAUUAUCUACCUCCAGACUUGCAGAGUGAGAAGUGAGUGGACUGGGAGUGACCAACAAUCAGGAACUGUGUUCUGCUCAACUCUGCAAUCCCAGCAAAGGACCUGCCACAGACCUCCGUAUAAAAUUGUCCAAUGGAUGACACAACUGAAAACAGGGAGAUUGUAUGGGUAUGUGGCCUGGGAUGGCAGCAGAUGUACCCACCCCCUGCCUAGCAAAGUCUUCUGGAUGUCUGCUUUGAGGGUGAGCAGCAUCAAUGCCUUUCAGUUCAUCUGGAGACCACAGGAUCAGUAAGAGCUGACUGCAAAGUGGGUAUUGAUCCAAGAUUCCCCUUGGACCUUUGGUUUCUCACUGUCUUCAUCUGUCACCCAGUGGGAGCAACAAAACUUUGCUCAUAAAAAUUCCAAACUCCUUGGAGAGUAGUUUUAUAAAUGUAGGUACCUGAGGCUGCUUCUCUGCCUCCCCCGACAUUCCAUCAGGAACCAUGGAUGCUCUCACGUUCCUGGCUUCCUCCCACCCCCAUUCAUCCAAAAGAGGCUCUAGAGUGAUUCAGUUCUCCCUCAGAGAGCCCUGGCUGGAGCUGGGGCCC
rnacentral:lncRNA from 1 species